rnacentral:miRNA from 1 species
ACCCUUCCCUGUUCCUUCUGCCCUUCCUCUUGGGGAGUUUAUCUGUCUCUGAUGAGAAACUCCCCAAGAGGAAGGGCAGAAGGAACAGGGAAGGGU